UCAAUCUUAGGAAGUUCUAUCAACCCUAGUGAGAGAACAUAUCCCGAAGAGAUGAUACAGACAGGAAUUUCCACAGUAGAUGUUAUGAAUUCAAUUGCUAGAGGGCAGAAGAUUCCUCUACUUGUGACUUCUUUCUAAUAUAUCAUCGUAUGUGUAACAUGUCAUCCUUAGGAAGUUCUAUCAACCCUAGUGAGAGAACAUAUCCUGAAGAGAUGAUACAGACAGGAAUUUCCACGGUAGAUGUCAUGAAUUCAAUUGCUAGAGGGCAGAAGAUUCCUCUUUUCUCUGCCGCCGGUCUUCCUCAUAAUGAGAUUGCAGCCCAGAUCUGUCGUCAGGCUGGACUGGUGAAGAGGUUGGAGAAAUCUGACAACCUUCUUGAGGUUAGUAGUUUACUUUUUUACACAUGCAUAGAUUAGCCAAUUAUUUUGAUGGAGUUGUCUAAAUACGAUGAUAGUGGAAGUCAGAUAUAUUGCUUGAGAGCUGAAUGGCCUUUGAAGCAUUGGGGUGCCACCAAACUAAACGUUUCUGUUUAGAAAUCUUACAACUAGCAUGGCUUGAUUAGCUUUUGCGAGUUUAGUUCCUUAUGUGUUGCUUCUCUAAUCUCCCAGUGAAUAGCUGGACAGGCACUUCUAUCCAUGUUCAUUUAUGCAUGUUGGCUGAUUGUAUGCAAAUUGACUUAAUCCUCUCCUUUCCACUUGAUACCCAGGGUGGUGAAGGGGACAAUUUUGCCAUUGUCUUUGCUGCUAUGGGAGUCAACAUGGAAACAGCACAAUUUUUUAAACGUGAUUUUGAGGAAAAUGGAUCUAUGGAGAGAGUGACACUCUUCUUAAACUUGGUAAUGCUUGAAAUUUUUCCAUGAAUCCAUAGUGAUUAUUUUUUUAUUGGUGAAAACAAAUGCAGUUAUUCAUUGUGAAUGUCAAAUUUGAUAUCCUCUGUUAUGUUUUUGCAGGCUAAUGAUCCUACUAUAGAGCGUAUUAUUACAUUUUUUAUCGGUGAAAACAAAUGCAGUUAUUCAUUGUGAAUGUCAAAUUUGAUAUCCUCAGUUAUGUUUUUGCAGGCUAAUGAUCCUACUAUAGAGCGUAUUAUUACUCCCAGGAUUGCUCUGACAACUGCAGAAUACCUAGCAUAUGAAUGUGGAAAGCAUGUUCUUGUAAUUUUAACUGAUAUGAGUUCAUAUGCUGAUGCUCUUCGUGAGGUAUUGUUCAUGAAGUGUAUCUUGCAAUUUUUCAAUUGGGCCAAUUAUGAUUCUGUAUUUAGUUGAACCCAACCUGCUUUUACAUUGAGGCGUAAUAGGUGUUGGGUUGCCAUUUUUUGGGACCUCUCCUUUUAGACUUCUGGCACAUAAAACUAUAAAUUCCCCUGCAGGUAUCUGCUGCCCGAGAAGAAGUGCCUGGAAGGCGUGGAUAUCCUGGUUAUAUGUAUACCGAUCUGGCAACAAUCUAUGAACGAGCUGGGCGUAUCGAGGGAAGGACGGGCUCCAUCACGCAAAUUCCAAUUCUGACCAUGCCAAAUGAUGGUAACUCACUGUCGAACAAUUUUUUUUUUUGGUUAUUGCUUCUACUUCUGAAUUCACAGAUAUUUAUUUACAAAUCCCUACUUUCUGUUGUUUUGAACAGAUAUUACACGUAUGCACACUAGUAAAAGGGCAUUAUUUCUAAAUGAUAGAGGUGAAGAUUUAGAAAAUAUGAGCAAUUGAUCAAACUGGUUCUUAUAUUUAGAUAAUUAUUUACGCUAUAUUUGUUGGAGUUACUAAUGCUCUUUUGUUUUUCUUUUUGUUUUGUCUUUGUUUUUCCUUUCUUUCCCGGAGCCGAGGGUCGAUUGGAAACAGCCUCUCUGCCCUUUUGGGUAGGGGUAAGGCCUGUCUACAUAUUACCCUCCUCAGACCCCACUUUGUGGGACUAUACUGGGUAGUUGUUGUUGUUGUUGAGCAAUUGAUCAAACUGAUAUAGGAAGUAUAUGCCCUUUGCUUUAUCAAUCUUUUUAUCUCUUAAUCUCUUGAUUUGCUAUUUCUACUUUCAUCUCGAUUAGGUUCUGCAUAACCUGAGAUUUCUUACUGAACUGAAUAGGUACUUAGUAUUUCUGCAGAGAAAGUGAGCAAGCACCUCGGCCCCUAUUUUACGAUUUAGCAGUACUAUUUUUAAGAAGUUACAAUUAAUUAGUCUAAAUGUUUUGCUUUUGGAUAAAUGGCCCAUUGCUAGUUAAAUCUAAACUUGACUAACCAGCAAGUCACAACAGUGGAAGGUUCUCUUUAUUGAAAUUAACUAUGAAUAAAGCUUACGAGUGUGGAUGGAUUGGAUAUCUUUACAUUUUGAAUGGUAUUUGGGCUUGAAUAGAAAAAUAUCAAAUGGUUGUUUUUCCUGUCUGAAAUUUAACAGAUAUACCCACCAAUCAAUGUGCUUCCAUCCUUGUCUCGGUUGAUGAAGGUGAGCUUAUGGAUCUGUUUAGAUAUGAAUCUAUUUAGAUCUUUUUCCGUAAACUGAUAGAACACCAAACAUGUGACUUGUUAAUUCACCCUAAUAACUUUUGUAGAGUGCCAUUGGUGAGGGUAUGACUAGGAGGGAUCAUUCUGAUGUAUCCAACCAGGUAAGAUCAACUUUCGCUAAAGAUGUGUUUCAUCACUGUUUCAUUAACAUACAUUCAGUAAGACUUGACAAUUACUACUGUGUCUGCAAUAAAUGAUGCUUAGUAAAGAUGUGUUUCAUCACUGUUCAUUAACAUACAUUCAGUAAGACUUGACAAUUACUACUGUAUCUGCAAUAAAUGGUGCUUAAUGGUAAUACUUUUAAAAAAUUCAGCUGUAUGCAAAUUAUGCUAUUGGAAAGGAUGUCCAGGCAAUGAAAGCUGUGGUCGGAGAAGAAGCCUUAUCUUCUGAGGACCUGGUUUGUAACUUGAGAAAAUUUUGUUGAGCUUUAUUUUUGGCUCUGAUGAGUUCACUAAUUGAAUCUUUUUUGAAUAUAUCAGCUUUACUUAGAGUUUCUUGACAAAUUCGAGAGGAAGUUUGUUGCCCAAGGAGCCUACGACACCCGCAACAUUUUCCAGUCGCUUGAUUUAGCUUGGACACUCCUUCGGAUCUUCCCUCGUGAGCUUCUUCACCGUAUCCCCGCGAAGACCCUGGAUCAGUACUACAGCCGCGAUGCGUCUAACUGAAGGAGCCAACUUUGUACUUUUGUAUCCUGUGUGAUUGCCUUGGUAUGAGCUUGAUGAUACAUAUCAUGUGCUUUUGAAGGAGCCAACUUUGUACUUUUGUUUCCUGUGUGAUUGCCUUGGUAUGAGCUUGAUGAUACAUAUCAUGUGCUUUUCCUCCUUAAAUUAUGAAUCUCCUUCCAGCUCAAAAAUAAAAGCUUUCUCUAGUGAGUUCCCAGAACCAAGGCUCUCCGACGUUUGCAAGACAUUUAUAUUCUUUUAAGAACCAGUUAAGUCAUGGUGUAAUUUAUUGUGUUGAAUUAUCUGCACAUAUGGCAGGGUUUGGUUUCCUUUUUAAAUUCUACAACUGUAGGGUUUUCCAGGAAUUACAAAACCCAUGUUAUGUAUCGUGCUCAUUUAUUUGUUUUGUAUGUCGACUGUGAGCUAAUUCUUUGGUACUUAUCAUUUUUUAAUAAUGUUGCCUUGUUGUGAGGUUCUUGUUUAAUACUUGCAAGUGGCAGAUUAGCUUUUGUAAUGUUGCCUUGUUGUGAGGUUCUUGUUUAAUACUUGCAAGUGGCAGAUUAGCUUUUGGAGUUUAAAAUGAAUCCACU
rnacentral:lncRNA from 1 species